GCAGCGGAGCAUGUGGUUUAAUUCGAAGCAACGUCGAAGAACCUUACCAGAUCUUGACAUCCAAUUGACCUAUCUUUUAAUCGAGAUUUUGCCUUCGGUACAAUUGAGACAGGUGGUGCAUGGUUGUCGUCAGCUCGUGUCGUGAGAUGUUGGGUUAAGUCCCGCAACGAGCGCAACCCUUGUGUUUAGUUGCAAACAGGUAAUGCUGUGCACUCUAGACAGACUGCCGUGGACAACACGGAGGAAGGUGGGAUGACGUCAAGUCCUCAUGGCCUUUAUGUCCAGGGCUACACACGUGCUACAAUGGGUGGUACAAAGAGCCGCGAACUCGCGAGAGCAAGCAAAUCUCAAAAAACCAUCCUCAGUUCGGAUUGGAGUCUGCAACUCGACUCCAUGAAGCUGGAAUCGCUAGUAAUCGCGGAUCAGCAUGCCGCGGUGAAUACGUUCCCGGGCCUU
rnacentral:rRNA from 1 species